GCAAACUGAAAGAAAUCAGUCCCUUCUGGUA
rnacentral:piRNA from 1 species